rnacentral:rRNA from 1 species
UACGUAGGGUGCGAGCGUUAAUCGGAAUUACUGGGCGUAAAGCGUGCGCAGGCGGUUCUAUAAGACAAAUGUGAAAUCCCCGGGCUCAACCUGGGAACUGCAAUUGUGACUGUAGAGCUGGAGUGCGGCAGAGGGGGAUGGAAUUCCGCGUGUAGCAGUGAAAUGCGUAGAUAUGCGGAGGAACACCGAUGGCGAAGGCAAUCCCCUGGGCCUGCACUGACGCUCAUGCGCGAAAGCGUGGGGAGCAAACAGG